rnacentral:rRNA from 1 species
CCCUUAGGCAAAAUGGCACCGUAACUUCGGGAGAAGGUGCGCCGGUGAGGGUGAAGGACUUGCUCCGUAAGCCCAUGCCGGUCGAAGAUACCAGGCCGCUGCGACUGUUUAUUAAAAACACAGCACUCUGCAAACACGAAAGUGGACGUAUAGGGUGUGACGCCUGCCCGGUGCCGGAAGGUUAAUUGAUGGGGUUAGCUAACGCGAAGCUCUUGAUCGAAGCCCCGGUAAACGGCGGCCGUAACAAUAACGGUCCUAAGGUAGCGAAAUUCCUUGUCGGGUAAGUUCCGACCUGCACGAAUGGCGUAACGAUGGCGGCGCUGUCUCCACCCGAGACUCAGUGAAAUUGAAAUCGCUGUGAAGAUGCAGUGUAUCCGCGGCUAGACGGAAAGACCCCGUGAACCUUUACUAUAGCUUUGCACUGGACUUUGAAUUUGCUUGUGUAGGAUAGGUGGGAGGCUUUGAAGCGUGGACGCCAGUUCGCGUGGAGCCAACCUUGAAAUACCACCCUGGCAACUUUGAGGUUCUAACUCAGGUCCGUUAUCCGGAUCGAGGACAGUGUAUGGUGGGUAGUUUGACUGGGGCGGUCUCCUCCUAAAGAGUAACGGAGGAGUACGAAAGUGCGCUCAGACCGGUCGGAAAUCGGUCGUAGAGUAUAAAGGCAAAAGCGCGCUUGACUGCGAGACAGACACGUCGAGCAGGUACGAAAGUAGGUCUUAGUGAUCCGGUGGUUCUGUAUGGAAGGGCCAUCGCUCAACGGAUAAAAGGUACUCCGGGGAUAACAGGCUGAUACCGCCCAAGAGUUCAUAUCGACGGCGGUGUUUGGCACCUCGAUGUCGGCUCAUCACAUCCUGGGGCUGAAGCCGGUCCCAAGGUAUGGCUGUUCGCCAUUUAAAGUGGUACGCGAGCUGGGUUUAGAACGUCGUGAGACAGUUCGGUCCCUAUCUGCCGUGGACGUUUGAGAUUUGAGAGGGGCUGCUCCUAGUACGAGAGGACCGGAGUGGACGAACCUCUGGUGUUCCGGUUGUCACGCCAGUGGCAUUGCCGGGUAGCUAUGUUCGGAAUAGAUAACCGCUGAAAGCAUCUAAGCGGGAAACUAGCCUCAAGAUGAGAUCUCACUGGGACCUUGAGUCCCCUGAAGGGCCGUCGAAGACUACGACGUUGAUAGGUUGGGUGUGUAAGCGCUGUGAGGCGUUGAGCUAACCAAUACUAAUUGCCCGUGAGGCUUGAUC